rnacentral:rRNA from 1 species
CGGAACACGUACGCAACCUCCCCAGAACAGGUGAAUAGCCUUCCGAAAGGAAGAUUAAUACACCGUACCAUAUAGAGGUGGCAUCACUUUUAUAUUAUAGGUAGCAAUACCGGUUCUGGAUGGGCGUGCGCCUGAUUAGGUAGUUGGUGCGGGUAACGGCCCACCAAGCCUUCGAUCAGUAACUGGUGUGAGAGCACGACCAGUCACACGGGCACUGAGACACGGGCCCG